CAGCGAAACUGCGAAUGGCUCAUUAUAUAAGUUAUCGUUUAUUUGAUAGUACCUUACUACUUGGAUAACCGUGGUAAUUCUAGAGCUAAUACAUGCUGAAAAUCCCGACUCCGGAAGGGAUGUAUUUAUUAGAUUCAAAACCAAUGCCCUCUGGGCUCACUGGUGAUUCAUGAUAACUGCUCGAAUCGCACGGCCUUGCGCCGGCGAUGGUUCAUUCAAAUUUCUUCCCUAUCAACUUUCGAUGUUUGGGUAGUGGCCAAACAUGGUUGCAACGGGUAACGGAGGGUUAGGGCUCGACCCCGGAGAAGGAGCCUGAGAAACGGCUACUACAUCCAAGGAAGGCAGCAGGCGCGCAAAUUACCCAAUCCCGACACGGGGAGGUAGUGACAAUAAAUACUGAUACAGGGCUCUUUUGGGUCUUGUAAUUGGAAUGAGUACAAUUUAAAUCCCUUAACGAGGAACAAUUGGAGGGCAAGUCUGGUGAACGUUGCUGGUGCCAGAGAGAGUCGCCCCUCUGUAAAGCGACUAGUCGAGCGCCCGUCACGCGACGGGUGGGCGCCGGCGAGACAACCUGGAUCGGGGGACGCUAAGGGCCCCGUGCCUACGCCGAUCCCGAGCAGAGCCCGCUGGGCCUGUGUAGAGCGCGCCAAGGUGUCGGUCCCGGGCGAGCCCCGGGGCUUAAGGUACGUGCCAAUCCCCCGCGAAAGCGAGGCCCUGCGGAGAAGCACCCGUCGUGCGAAGCCGCAGGGGAGUCCCCGGGGGACGUGUCCCCCGGAGGGCGCUGUAAAUACAGGCCAGCAGCCGCGGUAAUUCCAGCUCCAAUAGCGUAUAUUAAAGUUGUUGUGGUUAAAAAGCUCGUAGUUGAACCUUGGGCCUGGCUGGCCGGUCCGCCUCACCGCGUGUACUGGUCCGGCCGGGCCUUUCCCUCUGUGGAACCCCAUGCCCUUCACUGGGCGUGGCGGGGAAACAGGACUUUUACUUUGAAAAAAUUAGAGUGCUCCAGGCAGGCCUAUGCUCGAAUACAUUAGCAUGGAAUAAUGAAAUAGGACGCGCGGUUCUAUUUUGUUGGUUUCUAGGACCGCCGUAAUGAUUAAUAGGGACAGUCGGGGGCAUCAGUAUUCAAUAGUCAGAGGUGAAAUUCUUGGAUCUAUUGAAGACUAACUACUGCGAAAGCAUUUGUCAAGGAUGUUUUCAUUAAUCAGGAACGAAAGUUAGGGGAUCGAAGACGAUCAGAUACCGUCGUAGUCUUAACCAUAAACUAUGCCG
rnacentral:rRNA from 1 species